CCUAGCUCUCGUUGAUAAGACACUUCGCGGUUCACACCAUGCCCUGGAUUUUGGGAGGCCAUCGAGAGAAGUCGCAGUCGCAGCGAUCCUUCCUUCUUGACGAUGAGGGGGAUUUUAUGCCGGUUCAGAUGAUGGUGGUGAUGAAACGGCCUGCGAGGCCAGAGAUACAUAGGGUCCUCCAUGCCGGGUGCCGAUGCCACCGGCUCUAGGGCUCUCUCAUCUGGGAAGCGGCUUGCCUGCAGUUAACAAGAGCACAGAUGCGUGGCGUGCCAGGAGGAUUUUGGUGUCCGUGGAGCGCCAGUGCUCCUUUGUGGGAAGGGGGAAGAUGGGGAAACAGACCGCCCUGGGUUUUUCCGCCGAGUCCAAGCUGCAGGAAGCGCUGAAUGCUGCCGUUGUUGAACAAUUUCCCGGUCCCACUUUCCCGCAACAAGCAUGAUAGGGACUUUUGCAGAAGGAUCUUGCAUGGGAUUUUAUCAGCAAACAGGGAACUGAAUAUGUGAUUAUGCCUUGGGGAUUUGAUCUACUAAAUUCUGUACCAUGUUUUGGAUGCCAAGGGCCAUCAGGGUUGUGUCAAUGCCAUUGCAUGGAACGCCAAAGGUGAGUUUAGGCCUAUUGACUUGCGGUAGGUGGCCGAUGCUAUGGAGAUUAAAGAACUGAAGCACAUCUUGCUUUUAACUCUUAGCUGAUCUGCAUUAUUUAGUUUAACAAAUAAGUUUGUUUUUGACGACUACCUACUUUUGUUUUUUAUAUUCAACUUUAAUUUACUCCUGCAGAUCAAUAUAUGGAGUUACAAUGACAGGGGCUAUUACAUAGUAUUGAAACAGGUCACAAUGCAAAUAUAUUUUCUACAAAGUUUGUUCCAGACACAUCUGAUGACCUAGUUGUAUCAGGUGCAGGUGAUGCUGAGGUAAGAAUUUUCAGUUUAUCUCAUUCAAGCAGUAGGUCUGCGGAAGCUCCCUUAGAACCAGUAGCAUCUUACAAGUGCCACACUAUGAGGGUCAAGAAGCUAGCUGUAAGCUUCUAACUCAACAAACACUAGUAUCUUAUGUGAAAGUAGAAUGAAUCUUUCACAGCAAAAAUCAUAGCUUGGUCACGUAUCUUUUUGAAUUAGGAUUGGGACAUCUCUUGAGGUUUUGAGGUCAUGUUGGAGCUGUUAGGUUCUCAGGAAUGGCCUAUAGCAGUCAAGUUGAAGGAUGAGGGUGUUCACAGAGAUUCGAUGAAGCCCGAUUGUAUAUUAACAGUUGAGGGAGAUAUUUCUCAUGAUAUGAAGGAAGGCAUGCGAACGGAGUAGACGAGGAGGCGGGAUGGACGCAUGACACAUUGUUUAGAUAUCUUAGGAGUGUUGUAAAGACAUUUGUUUCCUUAUGAGUCUUUUCUUUAUUUGUAUGAGUUGUAUUAGUGUUUUCUUUGUUCUUUGUUUUUGUUAAACUCUUUUGGUUGUGAUGUUACUAUUCAUGUUGGGUAUGGUGGUCCAUUUUGAUGGAAUUUUUAUUAUGGUUCCAAGUUUA